rnacentral:rRNA from 1 species
AUGCUCGAGCAGCUCAUGUUUCAACUAGGGCUGCCUAUAUCUUCCAUGCUAGGUGGGUUAUUCUCAAGAGGAGUGGACUCCGCCCCUCAUUCACGAGAAAGGGCCGGUAACCGGGAUGCCCAGUCCCAUGAUCCAAAAAGAUCAAAGCAAAUCAAAAUAACUAAACAAAACUCCCCAAGGGUUGUUGUUAGUUGGAGGCACUCGCUGUUUCAAGCAAGCCAUGGAUUGAUGCUUGUUGGUGGUUGGGGGAGUAUAAACCUUUACCAUUCUGUUUGGGAACUGCCUAUAAUGCAUGUAGUAUGGAAGAUACAGCCAUCUCACAGUUGUUGUGUUGACAGCAAAAGUAUGUCGCUCAAAAUGUUAUUCAUCUCUAUUUUAAAAUCGAGCUCUGGCACCUCUACAAAUCCCUGCUUCCCUCUGCGAAGGGCUUAUCUAUUUACUUUUAUGUUGAGUCAUCACCCUUCUUAUUAA